rnacentral:rRNA from 1 species
AGCAGCCGCGGUAAUUCCAGCUCCAAUAGCGUAUAUUAAAGUUGUUGCAGUUAAAAAGCUCGUAGUUGAAUUUCGGGAUCAAUUUAUUGGUCGUGCUAUUGUACGUACUGGUAUUAUUGAUUCCUACCUUCUGACGAACCAUGAUGUCAUUAAUUUGGUGUCAUGGGGAAUCAGGACUGUUACUUUGAAAAAAUUAGAGUGUUUAAAGCAGGCUCACGCUUGAAUACAUUAGCAUGGAAUAACGAAAUAGGACGUUUGAUUCUAUUUUGUUGGUUUCU